UCCGGUUUGACACCGGCAGUCCCGCUAGAGUCCUCAGCAUAACCUGUUAGCAACUAGCAGCAGGGGUUUCGCUCGUUAAGGGACUUAACCCGACACUUCACAGCACGAGCUGACGACAGCCAUGCAGCACCUGUGCACGUUCCACUCAAAGAGUGUCAUUGAUGUUUCCACCAACUAAUCCGUACAUGUCAAGUCCAGGAUAAGGUUCUUCGCGUUGCCUCGAAUUAAGCCACAUGCUCCACCGCUUGUGUGAGCCCCCGUCAAUUCCUUUGAGUUUUAGUCUUGCGACCGUACUCCCCAGGCGGCGCACUCAGCACUUUUGCUUUAAUCCCGACGGCGUCAGAGCCACCGAGAUUUAGUGCGCAUCGUUUACGGCGUGGACUAC
rnacentral:misc_RNA from 1 species